UUCUAUCAAGUGAAGGAAAUGCCGAGUCAAAGAGACUGAACAUCUUUAAAAGCGUUUUCUCUUGCUAAAUUGCAACCAGAGUAUUGGACCAAUUGGGACCUCCACCAGCAAUACAGUGCCCAUUUAAUGAUACACUCUCCAGCUUUGGAUUUUUUUGGGAUGUCCAGUGAUGACCCAGGCGUAACCAGAGAGAUGGGAGAAGCGGACGGAGUGCUGGGUCAUUCAUCCGAAUAUGGGGAUCACAACUAUAUCCACUUUAGUGAAGAAUCAGUGCACAGAAAACUCUUGGAACACUGGCUGUAACCAGCUGACGUUUACUGAGCGAUUUGUUCAUUCCAUGAAGAAGCCAUGAUUACAUACCAUGGAAGACAGGAAAGGGACGCAUGGUCGCGACUUUACACCUGAUACCAAAAAGUCUCCAUGAACAAAAGGUCUGCUGCGUGCCAUGGCCUCUCGGGCACCCUCCCUGGACGCAUGAUGACAGCCGGCUGGACGGCACAUAUAAAGUGAGGUUUUUUUCCUACAGUAAAAACGGACUUCUUGGGAAGAGAUGUUUACUUUUAAACAAUUUUUAAAAUGGAAAGGAAAGAAACAGAUGCCGAAGUAAGAAAAGGUGAAGAUGGCGUGAGUUCCAGGAGUCCUGGAGGACAGACCUCCCAGAAGCAGGCAGCAGUAUAGGGUGCCUCUGAAAGAUCUGGCAAGUUAUAGACCCACAGGGACCUUACGUGUCUAUGGGAAACGUUGAUUUAUUGUUACUUAUCUCCAGCCACUUUCCU